GUCUGGAUAGCUUAGUGUCUGCUCUAGAGCAGUUGCCCUGAAAAGCGAAAAACUCGGGUUCGAUUCCCGAUUCAGCCA
rnacentral:tRNA from 1 species